rnacentral:tRNA from 1 species
GGGCCGUUAGCUCAGUUCGGUAGAGCACCUGCUUUGCAAGCAGGGGGUCAUCAGUUCGAAUCUGAUACGGUCCA